rnacentral:lncRNA from 1 species
GGUCCGUACUGGCGUGAUAUUCGCAAAAUAGCCACCACAGAGCUUCUCUCAAGUCACCGGCUUGAAUUGCUGAAGCACGUUCGCUACUCAGAAGUUGACACUUUCAUCAAAGAUUUGUACUCACUUUGCUCAGAAAACGCAUUCAAUCCUGCGAAGGUGGUGAUCAGCAAGUUAAUCGAGCAGUUGACUUUCAAUAUAAGCCUGAAACUGAUAGCUGGGAAGCGAUUUUCAGCUAAAGAUUAUGAGGAACAAGGCAGCGAGGCUUGGCGUAUCAAUAGAGCAAUAAAAGAAGCAACGCACCUAUUCGGGGUUUUCAUCUUGGGAGAUGCCAUACCAUGGCUUGAAUGGAUUGACUUUCAGGGUCAUGUGGGAUCUAUGAAGAGUACUGCUAAGGAAAUUGACGAUGUGAUCGGCAACUGGCUUAAAGAACGUCUUCAAAAUAAAUUACAGGGCGAAGGCCAUAAUGGUAAAGGUGACCUCAUAGACGUGUUGCUUUCAAAACUGCAAGAAGAUGCUGUGAUGGGCGGACAUACACGUGAUACUGUCGUCAAAGCAACAGCUCUAGUAAGUUUGACUUAAUAAUUUUCUCUGCUUGUCAGCAACAAUAACUGAAUCCGUAUACAUAUUUGCAGAUUUUAAUCCUUACAGGCUCAGAAAGCACGUAUCUUGGAAUAAUUUGGACAAUGUCCCUGUUGUUGAACCACCCGAAAGAGCUGAAGAAGGCACAGGAAGAGUUGGACGUCCAUGUUGGAAGAGAUAGAUGGGUAAACGAGUCAGAUAUGAAGAAACUAAAAUACCUUCGAGCCAUUGUCAAAGAAACUCUACGGAUUUACCCACCGGGUCCUGUAACAGGAAUUCGGGAAGCCAUGGAAGAUUGUGAAAUUGGUGGUUAUCAUGUCCCGAAAGGCACGCGUUUGAUCGUGAACAUAUGGAAGCUGCACAGAGACCCUCGGAUGUGGGAAAAUCCGUGCGAGUUCAGACCAGAAAGGUUUCUGACAACUCAUGCUGAUGUUGAUGUCAACACUCAACAUUUUGAGUAUGUUCCGUUCAGCUUCGGAAGAAGAUCGUGCCCUGGAAUGACAUCUGGCUUACAAAUUGUUCAAUUAACGCUUGCUCGGAUUCUUCAGGGGUUUGAUUUGGCAACCGUGGGGGGCACACCUGUUGAUAUGCAGAUUGGUUUGGGCCUUGCCUUGCCCAAAUCGAACCCUCUUGAAGUUAUCAUAAAACCUCGCCUCGCUGAGGAUCUUUUUCGAUGCAUUUGAAGAUUUUAUCAUUUUAAACGAUCAUUUACGUGUAUUAUCAGAAAGAACUAAUGUGAAGGCGACUAAUGCGCAAUAACAUUUUUUCUAAGUGAAGGAUCUUUUUCGCUAAGAACUAAAUGAUAAUACACGUAAUUCAACAGACACGUAAUCAAAGGUCAUUUGUAGAAAGCUACAAAAGACCCAUAUCUAUAUUAAUUAUGAUUUAUCCUAAUUUAAAUAGAAAAGUUUAUUUUAAUAAGAUAUAUAUUUAGAUUAGAGGAAUACAACUCAAAUAAGCUAUGCCUAAUUAAUGAAACUCUAAAUAGAAAACCUAAUUAAAGUAGAAUACAAAUUAAUUAAGUCAUUCCUAAAUAUUAUAAAUUUCAAUCUAAUUAGAAUUUCUUCAAUUUGCUCGUCACAUUUGGUCUCUUUUUUUUUUUUUUUUUUCUAUACAUAUGGUGAAAAAUGGUAACUGUCCAUUAAUUAAUAACAUUUUUUUUUUUUUAAUAAAUCUCGUUUGAAGUAGGGGGUGGGCACCACCACCCCAUGAAACCAACGUAACCCAUUAAUUAAUAACAUUUUCUAAUAGAGUUGGACUAUUGACAUCCCUCCAAAAUCCUUUUAAAACCCCUUUCCAUUACAAUUAUAUUUAAGAAUAAAUACUCUAUUUUAUCUCACUUCAAACUUUUGUAUUUUCUCUACUAUCAAACUCGCACAUGUAAUUUUUUUUUCUCAAAUUCUCUAUAAUUUUUUCUUCAAUUACUAAGACAAUCUAUUGGUAAUAAACAAAAUACAUUCUGACAAAAUUAUCUGCCUUUUUUUAAGGCUCAUAAUAAAACUUUUUACAUCAUAAUUUUAUAGAUAUUUUAUUUAAUUAAUUGAUUUUUAUCAAGAAAUUUAUCACCCAUAAACGUUUGUUUGUGAGGAGCGAGAAAAUAAUAGAAAAUUAAAAGAUUCACAAAUUAAAUGUGUUUAUUUAGAAUAAGGGUAUUUUUGGCAUUAAUUUUAGCAUUAUUGAAAAAUGGGUUUCAUAAGAAUUUUGGAGGGGUGCCAAUAGUCCAACUCUUUUUAAUAAAUUCCAUGAUCACAAAUUAAAGACAACCACACACGGCCAAAACUCAUGUCGCUCCACCUAGAGCUGGCAAAAUUUGACACGACCUGAUUAACCAACAUGAGCACGACACGAAUAAACAUGUAUGAGUUGUCAAAUUUAACAGAUUAUUAAAUGGGUUGGAUCUUGGUUGAUACGAUUUUUUUCUGUAUUGGGUUAGGGUUAAAAUUUUUGAUCUAUUUUUUAUUCUUGAUCAAUGACAAUAUUAUAUUUUUUUAUUUAAAAUUAAUUUAUAUGUUUUUAUCAUCAAAACUCAAAUAUUGGAUGUGAUUAUCUAUUUUUUUUAAGGAUGAACAUAUAUACAAUAUUUAAUUUAUAAAAUUUUAUUUAGAUUUAGAACUCUAAUAGUAUAAAUAUGUAAAAUGUUAGUAGACAUGUAUAUUUUAUAAUAUUGAUAUAUCAUAUUAUUUACAUAUAUAUAAUUAAAACUUCAAUAGUAUAAAAUGUGUAAUAUUUUGGUACAUAUGUAUAAUUUAUAAUAUCAAUAAAUUUUUGUGUGCCCAAUAACUCUCUUAAUAUUUAUAUGUUUAAUAUUAAACAUAUAAAUAUUAAGAGAGUUAUUGGGUAACUUAUUUAUUUUCUAUACCGAAUUUGAAUCUUAAUAUUUUGACACGAUUAUUAAAUAAGUCAUAUUUGACAUGAUUAUUAAAUUUAAUACGAUACAAAACUGAUACGACACAAACAUGACUCGAUCAUCCAAUUUAACAGCCGGGGCUUCACCAGCCACUACCAGAAGAUCCAUACUUGAAAUGAUCCUUCAAUUUCAUCAAUUUUCAGUUCGCAGGAUAGAUCCAUGGCCCCACCAAAAUGUCGCCUGCCACAUGUUCACAAUCAUAGCCAUUUCUCACUUUCAUACUCGAUAGUGAUACGGGUUUUAACUUGGUCUGUAUCUAUUUAAUAGUUUUGAGUAAUUACACCGUACGACCUUUGGCUUUAAAGUGUAAACAAAACCAGCAUCAAAAUAUAAUUGCAAAAAAAUCAAUGUUAUUUUUGAAAAUUUUAUAUUAGAAUAAAUCAAUUAAAUCUCUCUCUUUAUUUUCUUUUCUUUUCAAUUUAAGGUCUAUUGAUGAUUGAAUUUGAUCACUAAAAUUGUUUUAAUAUAAAAAUAAGGUUAGUUGAACUCACUUAAAUACUUAAUAUACUCACUUUUUAAUAAAAAAAAAUUAUUACUAAAUUACUUGUUGUGUAAUUUACUCUUAAGUACAACACAGUAAAGUUAAAUAAAAUAUUUUCAUCUUGCAUCCAUUAUAUAGAUAUAAUUAUCAUAAUACAUUUUUUCCAUCCAACAUUAAUUAUCGACACUUUUUUUCCCAUGCGAAUGGACCUUGAUUACGUGUCUUUUUUGCUAAGAACUAAACAAUCAUUAAAUGUUCAUUUACAUAAUUCAAUUUCUCAAAAGGUUAUUGCUAUUCAUGUAAAUGAUCGUUUAAAAUGAUAAUACACGACUAAUGCGACUAAUGUGCACAUUAGUGGGUUAUCACAAACAAACUCAAUUUUUUUUCUAAGUGAAGGCCACUAAUGUGCAAUUAUAACUCUUGAAGUAUUUUUCAAUUUUGAUUUUCCAUGCCAGCUGAGUUUGUCUUAUUUAGCUAUUGUAUUUGAGUUUUUUUUUUUUUCUUUUUUUUGGGUUAUCUUAGUUUGUUUGCCUUAUUUAAUUAAUUUCAAAAUAGCCUACUAUAAAUGGAAUUGAAUUUUCAAACCUUAUAUAAGAUGGUAAUUCAGUUUUUUUUUUUUUUUUUGAAUUUUACUUUUUAAGAGUAGUGCUAUUUUGAACAAAGAGCAUAUUAAGUGAUCACAGUUUAGUUUAUACAGUAGGAAAGAAAUAACCGAAGGAAGAAAAAGCAAGAAAAAUCUUAAAGAGUAUUCCAGUUUAGUAGUCACCCACUCUUUAUUUGUUAACUUUUAUUUUUAAUAGAAAUAAUGUUGAUCUAAUUUCAACAAAUUCAGUAAACUCCUAGAAGUGCAAUAAUUAUGAGAUUUAGCUCGUUAAACAUGUUAAAACAGCAUAACAUCACAUUUUAUUCUAUUUUCUCUACUCUGCCGAACCAUGAGAUAAUCUAUUCAUUGCAAGUAGACCAACAAACCUUCAAGACCACAAAUUCCGAAGCAUAAUAAAAUUAAUUUGGCCACAAAAAAAUAAAAUCCUCUAACCUAAACCAACGAAGUAUGGACAUACAGCAGAUCUUUCAACAGCUGCCUUGGAAGAAAACAAAUCGUUUUUUACCACAGAAAUGAUUUCAUCUGCGCAACAGCCAUAGCCUAAGAUUUUUUUUUGAAAAAUUAUGGACCGGUCACUUAUUUUUUUUAAAUUUUUUUUUACUGGAAUCUAUAUUAAGUUAUAUAUAUUUUUACUUAUCCACUUCUAUUUGGAGAUCGUUUUGAAAACUAACGGAAUAUUGUAUAAAUAAUUUUUUUACUCUUAAAUAUAAAAGAUAAAUUAUCUACCGACCACUUUUUUUUUUCGUAUUUUUUCAAAAAUGCACUAUUCUUAAUUUUUUUUUUUUACUAAACUCCACUUGAAGUUAUAUUGUUUUGCACCUAUCCACUACUGUAUCAUUGUGAAAUGAUAAUUUUACCCUUAUGAUGUCAGUAAAUUUCUAACGGUGUUAUAACGAGAGUGGACCAAUGAAAAAAAUAUUAACUUUAGGUGGAGCACUGUAAAAAAAAAAAUUAUGUAUUUUUAAAAAACGGUAAAAAAAACAAGUGAACAGUGAAUAAUUUCCCUAUUUUUUUUAAGCAAUCACUAUCUUAGAGCUGCUUUAAAAUAUAACACAAAUCACAACCAUACACAUGUAAAGUGAUAAAUAAUAAAAAAUAAAUUAUAAAUUUAAUCACGUGGAUUUUAAUGCGUUUUCUAUCUUAGAGCAGUUUCAACGUAACCAAAUUCUUUUUUUUUAAUAUGCUUCACGAAAUCUCCACCUCACAAAUAAAAUAAGGAAAUAUGUAAAGUAUUAUUUGACUGACGCCUACCUAAUAACUCAAAAUCUAUUAUAAAUAGUAGUGCAAGUCAUAUGUAGCUUCGCCACAACACUCUCCCUAAACCACCAUGGAUUUUAUUUCUUUCAAGCUACCAAUUUUGGAGCUCUUAGCUUUGCUGAUUCUUUAUUUCUUAUGGGGAAUCGUAGCAAAAUCCAAAAACAAAAGCAAGAAAAAUACAGCCCCCGAACCAUUUGGGGCAUGGCCACUCAUCGGCCAUUUGCCUCUUCUGAUUGCCGAAGAACCUGUUUGCAAAAUACUCGGAGCCAUUGCUGACAAAUAUGGCCCCAUCUACUCCCUCAGGCUCGGCAAGCAUCCAACGUUGAUUGUGAGCAGUUGGGAAAUUGUGAAGGAUUGCUUCACUACCAAUGACAGAGUUUUGGCCACAAGGCCAAGUAUAGCAGCAGGCAAGUACUUGGGUUACGACAACGCCGUUUUUGCGCUUGCUCCCUACGGCCGGUACUGGCGUGAUAUUCGCAAAAUAGCCACCACAGAUCUGCUCUCCAGUCACCGGCUUGAAUUGCUAAAGCACGUUCGCUACUCAGAAGUUGACACUUUCAUCAAAGACUUGUACUCACGUUGCUCAGAAAACGCAUUCAAUCCUGCGAAGGUGGUGAUCAGCAAGUUAAUAGAACAACUGACUUUCAAUAUAAGCCUACGACUGAUAGCCGGAAAGAGAUUUUCAGCUAGAGAAUUUGGUGAACAAGGCAGCGAGGGAUGGCGUAUCAAUAGAGCCAUAAAAGAAGCUACGUAUCUGACAGGGGUUUUUGUUUUGGGAGAUGCCAUACCGUGGCUUGAAUGGAUUGAUUUUCAGGGUCACAUAGGCUCUAUGCGGAGGACUGCAAAGAAAAUUGACGACGUGAUCGGCAACUGGCUUGAAGAACAUGCCCAGAGAAAAUUACAGGGUGAAGGUGACUUCAUGGACGUGUUGCUAUCGAAAAUUGAAGACAAUACUGUGAUGAGUGGUCAUACAAGGGAUACUGUCAUCAAGGCAACAGCUCUUGUAAGUUUGAUUGUAUAAUUUUCUGUUUUCUAUAAUGAUAAUUAUUCAAUGGUAAACAAUUGAGACGGAAACUCAUACAACUAAUCAAAAUUAUUCUGUAGAUUCUAAUAUUUACAGGCUCAGAAAGCACAUAUCUCGGAAUAAUUUGGACACUGUCUUUGUUACUCAAUCACCCGAAAGAGCUAAAGAAGGCACAGGAAGAGUUGGACGUCCAUGUUGGAAGAGAUAGAUGGGUAAACGAGUCAGAUAUGAAGAACCUAAAAUACCUUCGAGCCAUUGUCAAAGAAACUCUGCGGAUUUACCCACCGGGUCCUGUAACAGGAAUUCGGGAAGCCAUGGAAGAUUGUGAAAUUGGUGGCUAUCAUGUCCCGAAAGGCACGCGUUUGAUCGUGAACGUAUGGAAGCUGCACAGAGACCCUCGGAUGUGGGAAAAUCCGUGCGAGUUCAGACCAGAAAGGUUUCUGACAACUCAUGCUGAUGUUGAUGUCAACACUCAACAUUUUGAGUAUAUUCCGUUCAGC